GCUCUGGUUUGUCUCCUUCCUCCAAACCACAGCAAGCUGUCCCUGUCCUCCAGACUUUGCUCAGGGUCUAUCACCUCCAGGGCUCAGUGUGAUAAUAGGUGAUUUGUAAUAAUUUCUCCCUUCUGUUUUACUAGUAAAUGAUAUUGAGAAAAAUGAAAAAAUGCAAGUAAAUAAAAGAGGAAAGGUGGAGUUACCAAUGGAAGAUCUCCAUCCUUUGUCAGGGCAGAGCCAGAUGGCCGUGUCCCAGGAAAUGUUGACCUUCAGGGAUGUGUUUGUGGACUUCACCCUGGAGGAGUGGCAGCAGCUG